UACGGAGGGUGCAAGCGUUAAUCGGAAUUACUGGGCGUAAAGCGUGCGCAGGCGGUUUGUUAAGUCCGUUGUGAAAGCCCCGAGCUCAACUUGGGAAUUGCAGUGGAUACUGGCAGGCUGGAGUACGGUAGAGGAAGGUGGAAUUCCCGGUGUAGCAGUGAAAUGCGUAGAGAUCGGGAGGAAUACCAGUGGCGAAGGCGGCCUUCUGGACUGACACUGACGCUGAGGCGCGAAAGCCAGGGGAGCAAACGGG
rnacentral:rRNA from 1 species